CCCCAGUGCUAAAACAGGCGUGUCGUAGUUGCCUUUCCUGUUGCUAUGAUAAAAUGCCUGGACAAAAGCAGCUGGAGGAGGGAAGGUUUUAUUUUAACACACAGGUCAAGGGUGCAGCGUACCGAGGUGUAGAGCCAUGACUGCAAGGGAGAGCCGGAGCUGAUCACUUUUCCGCGCUCAGAACAGUGCAGUCCUUGCCAUUUGUGAUAAGAAGAUUCGAGAACAGAAGACAGCACCAUCCAGGGGCAAGGUCAGGAGGAAGCCAAUGCCCCACUGCAUGAGUGUCUCCAUAGCAACAAAGGAACAGUGAGAGCUUUCAGGGCUACACGAAAACUUCAACCAGCCCCUUCCAGCUCCACCAGGAACUUGAGUCCCUCAGCUUCAAUUCCGCUGGGUUCAUCUCCAGGAGUAAAAGGCUUGUUGACAGAAGAGCGUUUGUUAUUUCUCCUCUUGCUGAAAAAGAACGUGUGGCACUUCAAAGUUUAAGCAUAUUAUCAAGGGCGCCAGGAAACCAGUCAGCACCGCGUGGAAAUUCCUGGCUAGAGAAACUUGCUGUCUUUCCUCCAGUCCUGUGAACACUGCAACGUCUUUAGAUGAGUAACAACUUCUGCUAAGAACCUGAGCUACCGCUCAUCAGGCUACGGUUCCAUAAUUAGUGGCGGAAGCCAGGCUAGAAGCUGCUCUCUGGC